GCGGAUGUAGCCAAGUGGAUCAAGGCAGUGGAUUGUG
rnacentral:tRNA from 12 species